UACGUAGGGUGCGAGCGUUGUCCGGAAUUAUUGGGCGUAAAGAGCUCGUAGGCGGUGUGUCACGUCGUUCGUGAAAACCUGCAGCUUAACUGUGGGCGUGCGGUCGAUACGGGCAUCACUGGAGUUCGGCAGGGGAGACUGGAAUUCCUGGUGUAGCGGUGAAAUGCGUAGAUAUUGGGAGGAACACCAGUGGCGAAGGCGGCUACCUGGACCGGUUCUGACGCUGAUGCGCGAAAGCGUGGGUAGCAAACAGG
rnacentral:rRNA from 1 species